rnacentral:misc_RNA from 1 species
AGAGGAACCCCAAGAGGCUAUAUGAAAAGCCUAUAUCCUGCUAAACCAAAAACUUUAACAGUUGAUCCUGCUAAAUCAGCAACCCCAAAGGCAAAAGUUGAUCCUACUGAAUCAGCAAUGCAAAAGUCUGAUCAUUUGGAUACGUCAGUGGCUAGUAUUGAUAAGACAAGAAUUGACGCUACUGUAUCAGCAACCCAAAAGUCUGAACAGUUCGACACUUUAGGGGGCAGUACCACAGAUGUAAUAGUUUCAUCUGAACUAGUU